GGAAAAGUUGCUUAAACCCUGUGGCUCAGCAAACUUCCUGUAAAGCAAAUCUAGAAGAGAAAACAACUGGUAGCAGCUGUGGCUGCUCUGCCCAGUUUCGUGUGUCUCAAAAUGUUGGAUCUUAACAGUCAAUUUCUGGAAGACAAAGAAGCUUCUGAAAUCGUUGGGUUUUAUGUAUCUUCCUUUUCUGCUGAUUUCAUUUGUUACAUUGACAGAAUUAUUUUGUUUCAAAUCCUUUUGGAAAUAGGAUUAAGUGACUUCAAUAGCUUAAAUACAAUUUUGAGAUACUGAGUAGCUGAAACUAAAAUGUGAAAUCAGGUAUUGCAAAACACAGUUUGUGAAGGACUUGAAUGAAGGACAUGCAUCCAUGUCCUUCUGAGAUGGAUGAGUGGAGCGAGAUGGAUGGCUGUCCUAAACUGUGGAAUCAAGUAUUCAGCACCUCUGAAAACUAAGAUGUUUGAUCUGAAAAAAAAUAAUCUCCCUUCAAAACCAUGUUUACGGGGAACAGAAAUAGGCUGAGGACUUGCAUUUUGGGAAGAGGGGAUUAUCGUGAUUCUUUCUUUUUCCCUAACUAUCCUUUGAGUUAGCAGCAUGGAAGAUCUCUUUCAUCUUUAGGAGACUCACAAGACUUCUCACAGCCUUUCUGGAGAAAUAAUCCUGCCUUUUCUGCUGAUGACUUUUUCAAGCUAUCAGAUUAAAGAAUGAAUGCACCCUUGCCACAAUAGUGUGUGUGUGUGGGGGGGAACUGCUGAAAGAAUGCACAUAGUUACAUAGUGUUCAUAACUUAAACUUCUUCCUUGGCCAUGCUACCAUCGCUAACUGACAUUGCCAGAGAUUUUGGAAUAUGGAUUUUUGUUAAUCUUAACGGGAAAGAACUUCUUCCUCUCUCUGCAUCUUGUAAUUUAGGUUUUCUUUUCAACCUGGAGGUGCCCAUCCUUCCCUCAGGGAAAGGGAUAACAUCUGCAGCCAAACUGAUUAUUCAGCAGUGUAUACAUCUGCUGCAUCUCAGAUGGUUCUCAUUUACUGUAUCUCUGGAUGACGACAGCCUGUUGGAAGUAGGUGAGUUGAAGGAGAGAACAUCAAGUAUAUGAAACAACACUUCCAAGCAGGGAAGAUGCUACUUCAGGAUAAAUAAAUAUUCAG